CCCGGCAUCAGCUGCUGGCGCUGCAGGCACUGCAAGGGCGGCCGCUACAACCUCUGUGACGACAUGAAGUUCUUCGCCACCCCACCUUACCACGGAUCACUUGCUGACCAGGUACGUUACAGUUGUUCUGAAACGCAGUUGCAAUCUGCAAGCUGAGCUUGAUGAUUUUGACCAUUUGUUCCUGAGAUAAAUAAUAUCCUUAUCAAUGUGUUGGGUUUUGGGUAGAUUGUGCAUCCAGGUGACCUGUGCUUCAAGCUUCCAGACAACGUGAGCCUGGAGGAAGGCGCCAUGUGCGAGCCCCUGAGCGUGGGGGUGCACGCUUGCCGCCGAGCCGACGUGGGCGCCGAGAAGAGCGUGCUCAUCAUGGGAGCCGGCCCGAUCGGCCUGGUCACCAUGCUCUCCGCGCGCGCCUUUGGAGCGCCCAGGAUCGUCAUCGCCGACGUCGACGACCACCGCCUCUCCGUCGCCAAGUCCCUCGGCGCGGACGCCACCGUGAAGGUCUCCGGCAACACGGAGGACCUCGCGGGGGAGAUCGAGCGCAUCCAGGCGGCGAUGGGAGGCGACAUCGACGUGAGCCUGGACUGCGCCGGGUUCAGCAAGACGAUGUCGACCGCGCUGGAGGCGACGCGGCCGGGCGGGAGGGUGUGCCUGGUGGGGAUGGGGCACAACGAGAUGACGGUGCCGCUGACGUCGGCGGCGAUCCGGGAGGUGGACGUGGUGGGGAUCUUCCGCUACAAGGACACGUGGCCGCUGUGCCUCGAGUUCCUGCGGAGCGGCAAGAUCGACGUGAAGCCGCUCAUCACGCACAGGUUCGGCUUCUCGCAGGGGGAGGUGGAGGAGGCCUUCGAGGUCAGCGCGCGCGGCCGCGACGCCAUCAAGGUCAUGUUCAACCUCUAGACAUCCAGGCUGCUACUGUUGCUAGGGAUUCAAGCCAUGCUUGGACUGGAGCUGCGUGCGUGCAUGCCAGCGUGUCCGCGUGCGCGCGGUGUGUUGUGUGUCGUGAAACAAAAUAAAAUGACUGUGCAGACUGAUUUCUAUCGUGAAACUGGGAUGUCAAAGUUAGAAGGGAGAGAGGGAUUUGAUGGAAUAGUUGUUGUAUUGCUUGAGUCUCGCGGGCAUAUAUAUAGAAGUACAAAGAUCAAUUUGGAGUACAAGACAAGGCAGGACCAAAUCCUAGUCUAUCCUAUACUUCCUAAUAAUCUUAU
rnacentral:lncRNA from 1 species